UUUGUAAUUAGAGUGAGUACAUGGUGCUUCCUCACUGGGGAAAAAAAAAAGAGAUGAGCAGCUGUCUCAGCAAUAUUGAAGUCAGCGAGGACUCCCAAUGAAAUCAGAUACUCAUCUGCAGAGAGAACAAGUCCCGUACAUCCAUCAGCCAGGCAUGUGUCACAGCUAGUUGAAGAGAAAUGACUUUUAGAAAGUUAAGCUUCCUCUGAAACCUCAGUACAUCUAUUAAUAAGGGAGAAUGAAAAGAAGACUAGAAAAUAAACUAGAAAUACAAGCAGUAGUCACCUGAGGCUGCACAUGAUUAACUUCACUAAAGCCCAUUACAUGCCUCUACAAGGAGAAAAUUCAAAUACUUUAUUGCAUUAGCUAAUGGUAAAAAUAAACUAGUGUGGCUUACAUACUAACAUGUAACAAUUUCAAGACUCAAACAAUUAUUUGAAACCUGAUUCUGACUUUACACCCAUUCUACGUUGGAUUAACUGCAUUUCUAUCGAGAUAAAUUUCAGUGGAGUUGUGCACACAUCCAUCAAUUUAAACAGACAGAGAUGCACCCAAGCUUUUGUCUAAGCUCUGAAGAUAUACUCUUAAAAAAUACUAGGCCUUGUCCAAAGAACUAAGAGUUCUAAGUUUUAUCCUGCACUGUGCAAAUACUAUUUUACUGUGGCAAGGCAAUGUCUUCAAGAUGAUCAGUAAAGAAGCCUGGGAGCCAGAAUAAUAAGCACCAUUUUCAAUAGAUGCUGACUUACAAGGUCUGAGAGACAGGGAAAUUCACACAACUGGGUCUUUUCCCUCUGUUCUGCUGCUAGCACUGUGCCUCAUAUCUAUUCUGCACAGCAGCUCAUCUUUGCUCUCACUCCAGGACCCCAUCUGCCAGACGUAACCGGUCACCGCCGCAUCGGCAGCCAUGCCCACGAGACAGCAGGGACAGCACGUACCUUUCCCCUGGCACAUCCCAGGCACAGCUGACUCCAGGAUGGACCCUGGACCAUGCUGCAGUUUUGUUUCUGUUUCUCCUGGCUCAGGUUUCGCCAUAAAACUCUGCCUGUCCAUGAACCUGCUGGAUCAGCACUCGGUUCAGCCAGGCCAGCUGCUGUGGGACUGCACUGCGCUCGCUAAGGGUGGCCACGACCACCCUUGGAUUUUGCCUUUUCCUCCCCUGUGGUGCAGCCUUUCUCUUGCUGCCUUUUGUGCUUCUUACUGAGGAAAGAAGGGCCUUUCCUGCCAGACCGGACCCUGCUGUGUCCCUCGCAUUCAGGGCUCCUCAGCAACCUCGGUGCCAGCAGCAGCCCCAGAGCAGCCCUGCUCACCCUGUGUCCUGGUUCUGGCCAGGAGUGCCUGGGUGUUUGCAGCAGCCAGGAAGGGGCAUGGCUGGGACCUGGAGUCCCUUCUGUGCCGCCUCACUACCGGAGGUGGGGAGGAGGGAGUCUCUGCUGGUGGAGUAAGCGUGGCAGAUGGAGUGCUGGGACUGGGUUCUGAGUCGGGGCGAGCGCUUGGGUAGCGCUGGUUCUGAGCCAGAUGGAGCAUUUGGGUGGCACCAGGUCCAGGCUGGAGGGAGCAGUCAGGUCAGGCUCUGCAGUGAGCAUUUGGCACUUGAGCGUUCUGUACACUUUUGUUACUAAUACUGUUACUAUUCCUUUUCUUA
rnacentral:lncRNA from 1 species